rnacentral:rRNA from 1 species
GAUGAACGCUGGCGGCGUGCCUAAUACAUGCAAGUCGAGCGAAUGGAUUAAGAGCUUGCUCUUAUGAAGUUAGCGGCGGACGGGUGAGUAACACGUGGGUAACCUGCCCAUAAGACUGGGAUAACUCCGGGAAACCGGGGCUAAUACCGGAUAACAUUUUGAACCGCAUGGUUCGAAAUUGAAAGGCGGCUUCGGCUGUCACUUAUGGAUGGACCCGCGUCGCAUUAGCUAGUUGGUGAGGUAACGGCUCACCAAGGCAACGAUGCGUAGCCGACCUGAGAGGGUGAUCGGCCACACUGGGACUGAGACACGGCCCGGACUCCUACGGGAGGCAGCAGUAGGGAAUCUUCCGCAAUGGACGAAAGUCUGACGGAGCAACGCCGCGUGAGUGAUGAAGGCUUUCGGGUCGUAAAGCUCUGUUGUUAGGAAAGAACAAGUGCUAGUUGAAUAAGCUGGCACCUUGACGGUACCUAACCAGAAAGCCACGGCUAACUACGUGCCAGCCGCCGCAGUAA